GCACUCGCGCUGGCGACGUUCUUGCCGCUGCUGCGCCACGGGUUCUUUAACUUCACUUUGAUCCGAACCAGCUCGCCUGGAUCGAUCGCCCCAUUGUUGUUGCCCACUGUGUCGUCGAUCGUGACCGAAUCGACGUCGAGGUAUGGCAGAUCGAAAGACUCGCCCAGGCCCAUGUGCCCGAUGUUGAUGAAGCCC
rnacentral:misc_RNA from 1 species